rnacentral:rRNA from 1 species
GUGGGGAAUCUUCCACAAUGGACGAAAGUCUGAUGGAGCAACGCCGCGUGAGUGAAGAAGGGUUUCGGCUCGUAAAGCUCUGUUGUCGGGGACGAAUGUGCAGUAUUUGAAUAAAGUACUGCAAUGACGGUACCUGACGAGGAAGCCACGGCUAACUACGUGCCAGCAGCCGCGGUAAUACGUAGGUGGCAAGCGUUGUCCGGAAUUAUUGGGCGUAAAGGGAGCGCAGGCGGGAAGGUAAGUCGGUCUUAAAAGUGCGGGGCUCAACCCCGUGAUGGGAUCGAAACUAUCUUUCUUGAGUGCAGGAGAGGAAAGUGGAAUUCCUAGUGUAGCGGUGAAAUGCGUAGAUAUUAGGAGGAACACCAGUGGCGAAGGCGACUUUCUGGACUGUAACUGACGCUGAGGCUCGAAAGCCAGGGGAGCGAACGGGAUUAGAAACCCUUGUAGUCC